rnacentral:ncRNA from 1 species
CAAUAAGCAAAAUAAGGGCGUAUGGGGGAUGCCUAGGCUCUCAGAGGCGAAGAAAGGCGUGAUAAGCUGCGAAAAGCUACGGGGAUUGGCACACACGAAUUGAUCCGUAGAUACCUGAAUGGGGCAACCCACUAUGUUGAAGACAUAGUACACCGAUAGGUGGGCAAACCCGCUGAACUGAAACAUCUAAGUAGGCGGAGGAGAAGAAAACAAAAGUGAUUCCGUAAGUAGUGGCGAGCGAACGCGGAUUAGCCCAAACCAAUGUUGUUACGGCAAUGUUGGGGUUGUAGGACCACGAGAUUUCUUGCAUAAAGAAUUAGAAUCUACUGGAAAGUAGAGCCAAAGAAGGUGAUAGCCCUGUAUAAGUAAUGAAUGUAAAGGAUAGUGGUAUCCUGAGUAGGGCGGGGCACGUGAAACCCUGUCUGAAUUUGGCGGGACCAUCCGCUAAGGCUAAAUACUCCUGAGAGACCGAUAGUGAACCAGUACCGUGAGGGAAAGGUGAAAAGAACCGUGAAUAACGGAGUGAAAUAGAUCCUGAAACCAUACGCUUACAAGCGGUCGGAGCCCUUUCGUGGGGUGACGGCGUGCCUUUUGCAUAAUGAGCCUACGAGUUAACGUUGCUGGCAAGGAUAAGUGGUUAAGCCACGGAUCCGUAGCGAAAGCGAGUCUGAAUAGGGCGCUUUAGUCAGUAGUGUUAGACGCGAAACCGUGUGAUCUACCCAUGGGCAGGAUGAAGCGCUGGUAACACAGUGUGGAGGUCCGAACCGGUUGACGUUGAAAAGUCUUCGGAUGACCUGUGGGUAGGGGUGAAAGGCCAAUCAAACUCGGAAAUAGCUCGUACUCCCCGAAAUGCAUUUAGGUGCAGCGUUAUUUUAGUUAUAUAGAGGUAGAGCUACUGAUUGGAUGCGGGGGCUUCACCGCCUACCAAUUCCUGACAAACUCCGAAUGCUAUAUAAUGAUUGAUAACAGUGAGGGCUUGGGUGCUAAGGUCCAAGUCCGAGAGGGAAAGAACCCAGACCAUCAGCUAAGGUCCCCAAAUAUAUGUUAAGUUGAAAGAACGAGGUUUGUCUGCCCAGACAGCUAGGAUGUUGGCUUGGAAGCAGCCAUUCAUUUAAAGAGUGCGUAACAGCUCACUAGUCGAGCGGACGAGCAUGGAUAAUAAUCGGGCAUAAACAUAUUACCGAAGCUAUGGAUUUACAAGCAAUUGUAAGUGGUAGGGGAGCAUUCUAACAGGGUUGAAGGUGUGUCGUAAGGCAUGCUGGACUGGUUAGAAAAGAAAAUGUAGGCAUAAGUAACGAUAAUGCGGGCGAGAAACCCGCACACCGAAAGACUAAGGUUUCCACAGCUAUGCUAAUCAGCUGUGGGUUAGUCGGGACCUAAGGCGAACCCGAAAGGGACAGUCGAUGGCCAACGGGUUAAUAUUCCCGUACUACUGAUUACUGUGAUGGGGUGACGGAGUGAUGAAAGCGCCGCGAACUGACGGAAUAGUUCGUUGAAGUACCUACCUAUAAGCUGCGCAGGCAAAUCCACGCGGCUUGGGGAAAUACGAUAGUACUCGGAGACUUCGGUCAAAGAGAUAGUGCGCCUAAGGGCUUCCAAGAAAAACCUCUAAACUUCAGGUAAUUAGUACCCGUACCGUAAACCGACACAGGUAGUCGAGGAGAGAAUCCUAAGGUGCUCGAGAGAUUCAUGGCUAAGGAAUUAGGCAAAAUAGACCCGUAACUUCGGGAGAAGGGUCGCCCCGAGUAAUCGGGGCCGCAGUGAAGAGGUCCAGGCGACUGUUUAUCAAAAACACAGGGCUCUGCAAAAUCGUAAGAUGAAGUAUAGGGCCUGACACCUGCCCGGUGCUGGAAGGUUAAGAGGAGAUGUUAUCUUCGGAGAAGCAUUGAAUUGAAGCCCCAGUAAACGGCGGCCGUAACUAUAACGGUCCUAAGGUAGCGAAAUUCCUUGUCGGGUAAGUUCCGACCUGCACGAAUGGUGUAACGAUCUGGACACUGUCUCAGCCAUGAGCUCGGUGAAAUUGUAGUAACGGUGAAGAUGCCGUUUACCCGCAGUGGGACGAAAAGACCCUGUGCACCUUUACUAUAGCUUAGUAUUGACCUUGGAUAAAUGAUGUGUAGGAUAGGUUGGAGACUGUGAAGUGGCGUCGCUAGGCGUUGUGGAGUCAUUGUUGAAAUACAACCCUUUGUUUAUCUGAGGCCUAACUCUCGAUAGAGAGGACAUUGCUUGGUGGGUAGUUUGACUGGG